UACGUAGGGAGCGAGCGUUGUCCGGAUUCAUUGGGCGUAAAGAGCUCGUAGGCGGCUUGGCAAGUCGGGUGUGAAAACUCCAGGCUCAACCUGGAGACGCCACCCGAUACUGCCAUGGCUAGAGUCCGGUAGGGGACCACGGAAUUCCUGGUGUAGCGGUGAAAUGCGCAGAUAUCAGGAGGAACACCGGUGGCGAAGGCGGUUCGCUGGGCCGUAGCUGACGCUGAGGCGCGACAGCGUGGGGAGCAAACAGG
rnacentral:rRNA from 1 species